rnacentral:rRNA from 1 species
CGGUGUUCAACUGGCGUGCCCGCGGGACGUCCUGCCGGUGAGCUCAGCCCGCGAGGGCGGCUCAACUUGAAAUCCCAUCGCGGUGCUCUUCAUUGAGUGUCGAGGUGGGCCGGCACGAUUACUUUUGAACAAAUUAGAGUGCUUAAAGCAGGCUAAAAUUUUGCCUGAAUACUGUGUAUAUGGAAUAAUGGAAUAGGACCUCGGUUCUAUUUUGUUGGUUUUCGGAACCCCGAGGUAAUGAUUAAUAGGAACGGAUGGGGGCAUUCGUAUUGCGACGUUAGAGGUGAAAUUCUUGGAUCGUCGCAAGACGGACUAAAGCGAAAGCAUUUGCCAAAAACGCUUUCAUUGAUCAAGAACGAAAGUUAGAGGUUCGAAGGCGAUCAGAUACCGCCCUAGUUCUAACCAUAAACUAUGCCAGCUAGCGAUCCGCCGACGUCCCUCUGAUGACUCGGCGGGCAGCUUCCGGGAAACCAAAGCUUUUGGGUUCCGGGGGAAGUAUGGUUGCAAAGCUGAAACUUAAAGGAAUUGACGGAAGGGCACCACCAGGAGUGGAGCCUGCGGCUUAAUUUGACUCAACACGGGAAACCUCACCAGGCCCAGACACUGGAGGGAUUGACAGAUUGAGAGCUCUUUCUUGAUUCAGUGGGUGGUGGUGCAUGGCCGUUCUUAGUCGGUGGAGCGAUUUGUCAGGUUAAUUCCGAUAACGGACGAGACUCUGACCUGAUAACUAGACGCACUUGCGGCAUCUCAAAGGUCCGCCGGCGGCUGGCUUUGCGCCCGUCGUCGCGCGCGAUUUUUACUGCCGGCGUACAAUAAAUUCUUCUUAGAGGGACAAGUGG